rnacentral:rRNA from 1 species
AUUGAACGCUGGCGGCAGGCCUAACACAUGCAAGUCGAGCGAGUGGCGGACGGGUGAGUAAUGUCUGGGAAACUGCCUGCUGGAGGGGGAUAACUACUGGAAACGGUAGCUAAUCCCGCAUACCAUCGGAUGUGCCCAGAUGGGAUUAGCUAGUAGGUGGGGUAACGGCGCACCUAGGCGACGAUCCCUAGCUGGUCUGAGAGGAUGACCAGCGACACUGGAACUGAUACACGGUCCAGACUCCUACGGGAGGCAGCAGUGGGGAAUAUUGCACAAUGGGCGCAAGCCUGAUGCAGCCAUGCUGCGUGUAUGAAGAAGGCCUUCGGGUUGUAAAGUACUUUCAGCUGGGAGGCGUUACCCGGAGAAGAAGCACCGGCUAACUCCGUGCCAGCAGCCGCGGUAAUUC